UUCAAUAGCGUGGUGCAUUUGUUUUACGGAUCACAUUUCCGACAGUAAAAUAAAGAAGAUGAACAUUUUGCCACCAUAAACCCCACGUUAAAUCAUCAUUUUUUAUAUUGAAAGUUACGACAUAACUAGAAAUUAGCCCCAACAACCUAAAAAAAAGCUGAUCUGCCAAUCGGUCUGUGUGUCUUGCUCCUUGGACCCGUUGCCCGCCUGCCCUGCGCAUUACAUACAAAUACAUGAUUUCCAACACACAACUUUCUCAAAUAUACAUAUAUCGUCCCAGAUUAACUGGGACGCACGGACGCCCUCUAGUGUAACUGCGGUCAUGUGGACCGCAUUUCGAAAUGGAAUGUGCCUCUAUUUGAGGUGUUACGGUAAAAGGACUUACAGCCAAGGCACUAAUCGCCUAUAUGUAAAGUGUCAUAUCCCAAUCUUUGAACUGUCUUUAAAACAGAUCCAAAAACGGUAACACUCUGCUGUCACUUGAUCCUAGUUCAUGUUGACUUCCUCUAUGCUCAUGUACAUUUCCAUGAAAUAUUACUGUAUAGUUUUUGAGAAAAGAUGAAAAUCCGUUAAAAUGGCAUGAUAUUUGUCUUUUCUCAAUCUUUGAACUGUCUUUAAACCAGAUCCAAAAUGGGUACGACUCCUAUAUAAAUAUAACCAACUAAUAUUCAUUCAUUCCAAUAAUGUAACAUGGAAUACCUCAAAAGACCCACGUACUAACUGAAAAUAGUGCACUACCACGGUUCUACCAUGCGCCCUUGUGGUCAAACCUGCUCACUGCACGUAUCUACUGGAGUAUAAGUGGGUUGGGAGGAGUAAAACAACUGGAGUUCAGCAGACAAACAUGGGCGAGGGAGCUUUUAUUAGAUCUGCUCAAAGAUGCAACCCCAACGAUCUAUAGAUGUUAGAAACAACUGCGGGGUAGUUGUUCGUUUUUCGGUACUUCACAACUGAGAUGAUAUCAUGGCAAUAAUGGAAAACUUGACCAACUCCGUUUCCAAUGAAUGGGAAUACUAUUAUGAUUACCUUGAUCCUGUGAUCGUGGACGAGAGCAAGCUGAAAUACAACAAAUACUCAAUUGUUAUCAUAUUUUGGAUCAUGCUGGCUGCCUUUGUGGCAUUCCUCUUUCUCAGUUUGAAUCUAAUGUCUCAUAGUGGAAUGCCAAGAAUUCAAAGAUUCAGAAGAAGCCACAGCACAGCAACUGC